rnacentral:lncRNA from 1 species
GUUAGAAAUGAUAACCCGAUAUUGAAAAUAGAAAUUGAUUGUGGUUAAGUUAGUUGGAGUAUUUGACAGUUCUAAACACUAUAUUAAUAGUGUUGCUAAUAAAACGUUAUUUACAUCCGGAUUUAAUCUAAAUCUGUUAAUUUCAGUAGUGAUCAGGACAGUUAAGGGAAUAUAGCCCAAAAGACCAAUGUGGGUAUGAGUGAAUGAAUGCAAUUCUAUUCAAU